UGCUGGAGGUAUCAGAAGUGCGAAUGCUGACAUAAGUAACGAUAAAGCGGGUGAAAAGCCCGCUCGCCGGAAGACCAAGGGUUCCUGUCCAACGUUAAUCGGGGCAGGGUGAGUCGACCCCUAAGGCGAGGCCGAAAGGCGUAGUCGAUGGGAAACGGGUUAAUAUUCCCGUACUUGGUGUUACUGCGAAGGGGGGACGGAGAAGGCUAUGUUGGCCGGGCGACGGUUGUCCCGGUUUAAGCGUGUAGGUGUGUGUUCCAGGUAAAUCCGGUUCACUUUAACACUGAGGCGUGACGACGAGGCACUACGGUGCUGAAGCAACAAAUGCCCUGCUUCCAGGAAAAGCCUCUAAGCAUCAGGUAACAUCAAAUCGUACCCCAAACCGACACAGGUGGUCAGGUAGAGAAUACCAAGGCGCUUGAGAGAACUCGGGUGAAGGAACUAGGCAAAAUGGUGCCGUAACUUCGGGAGAAGGCACGCUGAUAUGUAGGUGAAGCGGUUUACCCGUGGAGCUGAAAUCAGUCGAAGAUACCAGCUGGCUGCAACUGUUUAUUAAAAACACAGCACUGUGCAAACACGAAAGUGGACGUAUACGGUGUGACGCCUGCCCGGUGCCGGAAGGUUAAUUGAUGGGGUCAGCGCAAGCGAAGCUCCUGAUCGAAGCCCCGGUAAACGGCGGCCGUAACUAUAACGGUCCUAAGGUAGCGAAAUUCCUUGUCGGGUAAGUUCCGACCUGCACGAAUGGCGUAAUGAUGGCCAGGCUGUCUCCACCCGAGACUCAGUGAAAUUGAACUCGCUGUGAAGAUGCAGUGUACCCGCGGCAAGACGGAAAGACCCCGUGAACCUUUACUAUAGCUUGACACUGAACAUUGAGCCUUGAUGUGUAGGAUAGGUGGGAGGCUUUGAAGUGUGGACGCCAGUCUGCAUGGAGCCGACCUUGAAAUACCACCCUUUAAUGUUUGAUGUUCUAACGUGGACCCGUGAUCCGGGUUGCGGACAGUGUCUGGUGGGUAGUUUGACUGGGGCGGUCUCCUCCUAAAGAGUAACGGAGGAGCACGAAGGUUGGCUAAUCCUGGUCGGACAUCAGGAGGUUAGUGCAAUGGCAUAAGCCAGCUUGACUGCGAGCGUGACGGCGCGAGCAGGUGCGAAAGCAGGUCAUAGUGAUCCGGUGGUUCUGAAUGGAAGGGCCAUCGCUCAACGGAUAAAAGGUACUCCGGGGAUAACAGGCUGAUACCGCCCAAGAGUUCAUAUCGACGGCGGUGUUUGGCACCUCGAUGUCGGCUCAUCACAUCCUGGGGCUGAAGUAGGUCCCAAGGGUAUGGCUGUUCGCCAUUUAAAGUGGUACGCGAGCUGGGUUUAGAACGUCGUGAGACAGUUCGGUCCCUAUCUGCCGUGGGCGCUGGAGAACUGAGGGGGGCUGCUCCUAGUACGAGAGGACCGGAGUGGACGCAUCACUGGUGUUCGGGUUGUCAUGCCAAUGGCACUGCCCGGUAGCUAAAUGCGGAAGAGAUAAGUGCUGAAAGCAUCUAAGCACGAAACUUGCCCCGAGAUGAGUUCUCCCUGAGACUUUAGGUCUCCUGAAGGAACGUUGAAGACGACGACGUUGAUAGGCCGGGUGUGUAAGCGCAGCGAUGCGUUGAGCUAACCGGUACUAAUGAACCGUGAGGCUUAACCUUACAACGCCGAA
rnacentral:rRNA from 1 species